rnacentral:RNase_P_RNA from 1 species
GGAGUCGGCCGAGCAGCCGCUGGGGGUCAUACCCCGGAGGAAAGUCCGGGCUCCAUGGGCAGGGUGCCAGGUAACGCCUGGGGGGCGUGAGCCCACGGAAAGUGCCACAGAAAAUAUACCGCCGGCUGGCAACGGCCGGUAAGGGUGAAAAGGUGCGGUAAGAGCGCACCGCGCAGGUGGUAACACGCUGCGGCACGGUAAACCCCACCCAGAGCAAGACCGAAUAGGGGAGCGCUAAGUGUGCCCACACGAGCUCCCGGGUAGGUCGCUACAGGUGCGCGGCGACGCGCAUCGCAGAGGAAUGGCUGCUCUCGACAGAACCCGGCUUACAGGCCGACUCCCUUC